AGCACGCCGCGUGAGUGAAGAAGGGUUUCGGCUCGUAAAACUCUGUUGUUAAAGAAGAACAUAUCUGAGAGUAACUGUUCAGGUAUUGACGGUAUUUAACCAGAAAGCCACGGCUAACUACGUGCCAGCAGCCGCGGUAAUACGUAGGUGGCAAGCGUUGUCCGGAUUUAUUGGGCGUAAAGCGAGCGCAGGCGGUUUUUUAAGUCUGAUGUGAAAGCCUUCGGCUCAACCGAAGAAGUGCAUCGGAAACUGGGAAACUUGAGUGCAGAAGAGGACAGUGGAACUCCAUGUGUAGCGGUGAAAUGCGUAGAUAUAUGGAAGAACACCAGUGGCGAAGGCGGCUGUCUGGUCUGUAACUGACGCUGAGGCUCGAAAGUAUGGGUAGCAAACAGGAUUAGAUACCCUGGUAGUCCAUACCGUAAACGAUGAAUGCUAAGUGUUGGAGGGUUUCCGCCCUUCAGUGCUGCAGCUAACGCAUUAAGCAUUCCGCCUGGGGAGUACGGCCGCAAGGCUGAAACUCAAAGGAAUUGACGGGGGCCCGCACAAGCGGUGGAGCAUGUG
rnacentral:rRNA from 2 species